AGGUUCUCCCAGGGAAAAGCCCCUCUGUGUGUGUGUGUGUGUGCGCGCUCUCCUCCUGGAUGACUUCCGUGCAAAACCAGCACACCAGCGCCGGCGUCUCCAGACCAAGUAACCAAGCCAACCACAAUUGGUAGCAAAAACUUUUCACCAGGUGCAAUAAAGCUGCCUCUUGAAGGCACUGCUGAGAAAAGACGUUUUGGAGUUUAGCAAAAGUGGUUACACUCUUGAAAAAGUUGAAUCUGCAUGCGGUUGACAG